UUCUUCUGGAUGCAAAAACAAUCAAGGAAAGAAAUCAAUUACUUUGUGUGACUGAGAUUAAAAAAACGCACAAACUCUAGCAGCUGGAUGUGUAAGUGAAAAAGCAAAGCAGACAAGACGACUGGUCUUAUCUAAGUAGUUGUAAUAAUUUACUUGGAUAUUGACCCUGCAGUGCGGGAGACUGGUUUGUUAAACUUGGGAGAAAAAAAAAAUUCUAUAUUGAGCUGAGGUGAGAAAAAAACUUUUCUAAAACAUUGUUCCUGAGCUGCAGUGAUUCAUUUUGGGGAAGGAUUUGGCAGGACCUUUGUACACAUAUGACACACAUCAUACUCUACCAUAGCCCGAAGGAAAUUUGGCACUGAGACAGCGGCAAGAGACGGCAAGCCAAACAAGGGAGUAAAAGAGUCUUAUCUAAAGCAAUUAUAAGAGAAGAAGUGACAUUAACUUUAGCUGAACAGCUCUGGAGGAUUUCUCACCACUGCCUUCACCCACACCUGUCCACUUUAACCAGGAUGAUAUCCUGGAUGUCAACAUGUCAUGUUUUUUUCAGAGUUAUGUUGUACACGUUUGAGCCGAGGCUGAGCUUCAGAAGCGCUGAUGGUGACACAGAGCCAUACGGAUGUCACCGGGAGACACCUGACGCAUCUGAGCGGACAUUUGGGCACAACCGGAAAUACACCAUGAACAGAACGCCAGUCCAUCGCAAGCUGUUUGAUUAAUUUCCAUUAAUUCAUAUAUAACCAACAAGACAUGUUUAAGACAGGGGACACACUAAUUUUCCGACAGCAAUGGCAAUUUAAAAUGGUAGUUCUACAGUAAAAGGACAGCUCUUUUAACUAACAAGCUAAAAAAAAAAAGCGUUAGCUAUUAGCUGUUUACACACUGCGGCUUGGUCCAAGGCCUUACGGUUGUUUAUUAUUUAUCAAGUCAUUUUUAAUAUUAUUGGUCAUUUUUAGUCGAUACGUACCUUCGAC